UACGAGAGGCCCAAACGUUAUUCGGAAUUACUGGGCUUAAAGAGUUCGUAGGCGGCGCAGAAAGUAGGGUGUGAAAGCCCUCGGCUUAACCGAGGAAUUGCGCCCUAAACUACUGUGCUUGAGGAACCUAGAGGUGAGCAGAACUGAUGGUGGAGCGGUGAAAUGCGUUGAUAUCAUCAGGAAUACCGGAGGCGAAGGCGGCUCACUGGGGGUUUUCUGACGCUGAGGAACGAAAGCCAGGGUAGCGAACGGG
rnacentral:rRNA from 1 species